rnacentral:rRNA from 2 species
AGGUGCGAUCAUACCAGCACUAAAUCAUCGGAUACCAUCAGACCUCCGCAAUUAAGCGUGCUUGGGCGAGAGUAGUACUAGGAUGGGUGACCUCCUGGGAAGUCCUCGUGUUGCACCUC